rnacentral:rRNA from 1 species
GAUGAACGCUGGCGGCGUGCUUAACACAUGCAAGUCGAACGGGAAAUAUUCAUUGAGACUUCGGUGGAUUUGAUCUAUUUCUAGUGGCGGACGGGUGAGUAACGCGUGGGUAACCUGCCUUAUACAGGGGGAUAACAGUCAGAAAUGGCUGCUAAUACCGCAUAAGCGCACAGAGCUGCAUGGCUCAGUGUGAAAAACUCCGGUGGUAUAAGAUGGACCCGCGUUGGAUUAGCUUGUUGGUGGGGUAACGGCCCACCAAGGCGACGAUCCAUAGCCGGCCUGAGAGGGUGAACGGCCACAUUGGGACUGAGACACGGCCCAGACUCCUACGGGAGGCAGCAGUGGGGAAUAUUGCACAAUGGGGGAAACCCUGAUGCAGCGACGCCGCGUGAAGGAAGAAGUAUCUCGGUAUGUAAACUUCUAUCAGCAGGGAAGAUAGUGACGGUACCUGACUAAGAAGCCCCGGCUAACUACGUGCCAGCAGCCGCGGUAAUACGUAGGGGGCAAGCGUUAUCCGGAUUUACUGGGUGUAAAGGGAGCGUAGACGGUGUGGCAAGUCUGAUGUGAAAGGCAUGGGCUCAACCUGUGGACUGCAUUGGAAACUGUCAUGCUUGAGU